GGCUGCAAGACGUUCUGCGCGCGCUUGGCGCGCUUUUGUGCGUGUCGAAAGCGUAUAACGUGCGCGAUAUUCGUGCGAGCGCAGUUUGACUUGAGCAAUCGUGGGUUUGGACUCCGUGACAUUUGCUUUCGUCAUAUGCGAGUUAGGGGCUUGCCGACAGGUAAACCGCCGCUGUACUUAGAUGAGUUGAGAUUUACACAUCAAUGCCAGCUCACAAAGCAU